UACUCGUCAGCGGGGCUGCGACGCGAGGAGUGGGCUUGCGCCCCCGGUGGCUGCUCACUUCCGGGUGGCCUGCUUUGGGCGGCGCGGGGCCGGCUGCCGGCCCAAGGGGUCCAGGGCCCGGUCAGGAGGUGCGGCCCAAGGAUGGAGGGGCCGGGAGAAGCCGGGGCUGCAAGCGAGGCGGAAUGGCGGCCGCUGCCCUGGGAAGGACUUGCGUGGAUGCCAGUGGGCACUUUGGUCGAGGAGUUUGCGAUGAAGCUAGACAUUGUGGCCUGACACGAGACCCCUGUCAAGGCCCCCACCUUGCCACCGAGCCUGGGAAGCCCUAAAUGGUUUGGAACCCAGGAUUGGAGGCUUCUGCUCAAGCAGGUGGCCACAACCCGUCAAGAGCAGUUACAGGAAACUGAAUCUGACUGACCAUGUGGAGCUUCUGAGGCAGAGGAAUGACCCGCGUGCCAGAGGUUUAUGAGCAAGGAAACUGGGAGAAACAAAUCAAAAAGCUGAUUACUAACAGCGAGGCCUCUCAGCCUACAAACUCAUCUCCAGAGCUAAGUGGGGGAUUGAAGACGUUUGGCCAAGGGAGAAAGAUCCAGGAGAAAUAUGACCAGAACUCUGUGCACAUCUGUUCGAAACUCUGUAACCUGGUGGCAGGUAAACGCUGUCCUGAACAUAACCCUUGCAGAGACCAAACAUCCGGGGGAAAUGCGCUUAAGUGCGAAGAUCAUCAUAAAGUUGUCGAAGAAGUUAAAUGGAAGGCUCCAUCCAUCAGCAGAAAAAGCCAAACAUUUUUCUGGAUCAAGAUUUUUAUCUGUGAGAUCUCUGAGGCUCAGGAGAGAUCUGUUCACUUUCUGAGAGAAGGUUUUUUGCACGCUUACUCAAGUUCUCAGUGGCUCGCAGUGUACUUGCCUGUGUGAUUAAAGUGGUAAGAAUGGCAACGGCAACAGCAACAGCCUGAAUAUAGGGCAAAAUUUCCAUGUUAUCAGAGAGAACAGAAAACAGUACUGAUAGAUCCUCUUGUGAUGCCACUUGAUUACGUUCAGUAAGCCGAAGCUGACUUUCCCAUCUAGUGAAAAUCCCCGGCCUCGAACAAGCGUAAGCUACCAUCGAAAGGACCUGAUGAUACUACAAGUUUCCCGACCAGGGAUUGAACACGCGCCCCCUGCGUUGGAAGCACGGAGUCUUACCCACUGGACCUCCAGAGAAGUCCCAGCUUAGAGGGUUUGGCAGCCCAAAGAUGCAAACAAUGCAGAUGUCCAUCAACGGAGGAAUGAAGAGCCAAGUUGUGGUCUAUCCACACGAUGGAAUAUUAUUCAGCCGUAGAAAGGAACGAAGUACUGAUACCCGCUACAACAUGAAUGAACCUUGAAGACAUUAUGCUAAUUGAAAGUAGCCAGACACAAGAAGUCACAUAGUCUAUGAUUCCAUGCACAUGAAAUGUCCAGAAUAAACAAACCCAUAGAGAUAGAGAGCAGACUGAUGUCUUCUAGGAGCUGGGGGAAGGGAGGAUGGGGACCAGUUGCCUGAUGGGGACUGGGUUUCCUUUUGGGUAAUGAAAAUAUCUUGGAACUCGAUAGGGGUGGUGGUUGCACAACCUUGUGAACGUGCUAAAUGCCACCAAAUUGUACACUUUAAAUUGGUUAAUUUUAUAUUAGGUGAAUGUCACUGCAUUUAAAAACAAACAAACUGGUAGCAACCUAAAUAUCAAAAAAGAGUCUCUUCUGUACAAGGAAUCACUUGAGGCUGCUAUCAGUCAAGAAGGAGAUGUUGCGUUAUUGAUGCAGAAAGACGUUCGCAAGAUGUCAGUAAAUGAUAAAAGCAGGUCACAAAACUGUGGCAUUUCGUGCCUUUCUUUGUCCAAAUAUGUCUCUGUUUUUAUACAUGUGGAGAAAAAUGUCUGCGAGGAAUAAGCACAAAAUGUUUGCUUUUGGUUUUCCUGUAUUUGUCAUGGAAUAAUGAAAAUGUCUUCUUAUGUAACCAAAAAACAUGAUAACCAGAUACUUCCUUAAAGAAAUUCAUCCUGUUCUUUGGGAGGCUCUCAGGAGACUCAUUACACUUCUGCUGGCCUGGGGCUCAGGACUAGAAUUCCUCUCUUGCGAGGGAGGAGGCGAGGAGGUCACGCAGGUCACGUG